rnacentral:rRNA from 1 species
UUUUUAUGGAGAGUUUGAUCCUGGCUCAGGAUGAACGCUGGCGGCGUGCCUAAUACAUGCAAGUCGAGCGAACAGACGAGGAGCUUGCUCCUCUGACGUUAGCGGCGGACGGGUGAGUAACACGUGGAUAACCUACCUAUA